CAAACUAUGUCUGUUUAUUGUCUCCAUGAAGGAAACUCAGUGCUUUGUUUAAUGUCUCUUCUGAGCAUAGCUCCAGAGUGAAAAGAAGGAUUUUGAACCCCUGAUUCAUCGUUGAUGGAUUUGCUCUUUGGAUUUUGUUAUGUUCUGGUGG
rnacentral:lncRNA from 12 species